rnacentral:sRNA from 1 species
GUCUAUGUCUUUACAUACCCCAUAAGAAUGUAACAGAAUGUCUUUUAAUGGCCUCUGCGCCACUAAUCAAAUACAACUUUCAACAACGGAUCUCUUGGCUCUCGCAUCGAUGAAGAACGCAGCGAAAUGCGAUAAGUAAUGUGAAUUGCAGAAUUCAGUGAAUCAUCGAAUCUUUGAACGCACCUUGCGCUCCUUGGUAUUCCGAGGAGCAUGCCUGUUUGAGUGUCAUUAAACUCUCAACCUUUCCGGCUUUCACUAGCUCGGUCAGGCUUGGACGUGGGGGCUGCGGGCUUCUUUUUGAAGUCGGCUCUCCUUAAAUGCAUUAGCGAAAACCUUUGGUUGACCAAAUCCCUGGUGUGAUAAUUAUCUACGCCACAGGAUAACCUUACAAGGACUUUUCGCUUCUAACCGUCCUUUUGGACAACACUUCAUGACAUUUGACCUCAAAUCAGGUAGGACUACCCGCUGAACUUAAGCAUAUCAAUAAGCGGAGGAAAAGAAACUAACAAGGAUUCCCCUAGUAACUGCGAGUGAAGCGGGAAAAGCUCAAAUUUAAAAUCUGGUAGUCUUUGGCUGCCCGAGUUGUAAUCUAGAGAAGCAUUAUCCGCGCUGGACCGUGUACAAGUCUCCUGGAACGGAGCGUCAUAGAGGGUGAGAAUCCCGUCUUUGACACGGACUACCAGGGCUUUGUGAUGUGCUCUCAAAGAGUCGAGUUGUUUGGGAAUGCAGCUCUAAAUGGGUGGUAAAUUCCAUCUAAAGCUAAAUAUUGGCGAGAGACCGAUAGCGAACAAGUACCGUGAGGGAAAGAUGAAAAGAACUUUGGAAAGAGAGUUAAACAGUACGUGAAAUUGUUGAAAGGGAAACGCUUGAAGUCAGUCGCGUUUGCCGGGGAUCAGCCUUGCUCUUUUGCUUGGUGUACUUCCCGGUCGACGGGUCAGCAUCAAUUUUGACCGGUGGAUAAAGGUCAGGGGAAUGUGGCAUCUUCGGAUGUGUUAUAGCCCUUGGUUGCAUACAUCGGUUGGGAUUGAGGAAUUCAGCACGCCGCAAGGCCGGGUCUUCUGACCACGUACGUGCUUAGGAUGCUGGCAUAAUGGCUUUAAUCGACCCGUCUUGAAACACGGACCAAGGAGUCUAACAUGCCCGCGAGUGUUUGGGUGGAAAACCCGGACGCGUAAUGAAAGUGAAAGUUGAGAUCCCUGUCGCGGGGAGCAUCGACGCCCGGACCAGACCUUUUGUGACGGUCCCGCGGUAGAGCGUGUAUGUUGGGACCCGAAAGAUGGUGAACUAUGCCUGAAU